CACCUUCCUUGCCGGCCCAUUUCUUCUGCAGCUGGCAAGACUUUCCUGAAGACUUCUGCAGCCAAUAAUAGAGCUCCAGAUCGAUCUGGAGCUCUGUUAUCGGUUGCAGUGGCCUUCAGGAAAAGCCUUGCCGGCUUUGGCGCUGCAGAAGAAGUUCCUGUCAGCAAAAAGGAGGCCAGGGGCAAUGCGGGCAAGUGAGUUGAGUCAAUGGACGACAUCCCCUGAAAAUAACACCUGGUGCCUUAUUUGGUGGCAAAAAAUAAAAUAAAAUAAGGCAGGAUCUUAUUUUCGGGGAAACUUGGUAUUUCAGUUUUUUGUUUCAGUCUAUGAGGUGAGACGCCUAUAUUAUUAAUCAUUGAACAAGAGAGUAUGGAUCUAGAAUCCCAAAAUCAAAUUUAGAAGCGUUUCUUUGAUCAUUUUGAUUACACGUUCACAAUGCUGCAGGGCCUUUAGCAAGGCUAAUAUAAUUUAUCCUGUUACAUCAGUGGUUCUCUAAGGUAGUCAGGAAAAUCAUAUUUAUAAAAAGAACCUGUCCUCAAUUUGUGGGAGCUGUUAAGACUUUGCUUCAUCUUCUGCUUUAUUAGGGCUUCUAGAGAGCCUUCUAUAAUGUUUGCUUGCUUCCUUUCCCUGGUUGUCUCCCAGGAAACUAGCUAAGUUUCAAAACAAAGCUUGUCGUAGCAAAAUUCUUUUGAAUUGUGUGUAUGAUUUAAUCCCUAUUAAAAGCAAAUCAAGCCACCGUAGUGCUAAUGUAAUGAGAUCAACAGUUCAUUUUACCAUCAGUUAUCUCUAUGUUAACAGCUGGAUAACAGCAAUAUGCUCCACAUGGGCUACGUUUGAAGAGUAUUCGCAGGCUACAACUGGUGCAGAAUGCAGUGGGCACAGACAGUUCUGGAAGGCCUACGAUGUCACAAGUAACACCGCUUUGCAUGAGCUGCAAUGGCUUGCUUCCAGUUUACUUUCAGGUCCAAUUAAAAGUGUUGGUUAUUAAAGCCCUUCAUGAAAUGGGUUCAGAAUAUCUGAGGAACAUCUUUCCCCAAUAGUAUCAGCCCUCGCCACUUGCUCUAGCACAGGGCCUUCAAACUUGGCAAGUUUAAGACUUGUGGACUUCAACUCCCAG